rnacentral:rRNA from 1 species
ACACUCCUGCGGGAGGCAGCAGUGGGGAAUAUUGCACAAUGGGCGCAAGCCUGAUGCAGCCAUGCCGCGUGUAUGAAGAAGGCCUUCGGGUUGUAAAGUACUUUCAGCGGGGAGGAAGGCAAUACGGUUAAUAACCGUGUUGAUUGACGUUACCCGCAGAAGAAGCACCGGCUAACUCCGUGCCAGCAGCCGCGGUAAUACGGAGGGUGCAAGCGUUAAUCGGAAUUACUGGGCGUAAAGCGCACGCAGGCGGUCUGUCAAGUCGGAUGUGAAAUCCCCGGGCUCAACCUGGGAACUGCAUUCGAAACUGGCAGGCUUGAGUCUUGUAGAGGGGGGUAGAAUUCCAGGUGUAGCGGUGAAAUGCGUAGAGAUCUGGAGGAAUACCGGUGGCGAAGGCGGCCCCCUGGACAAAGACUGACGCUCAGGUGCGAAAGCGUGGGGAGCAAACAGGAUUAGAAACCCUUGUAGUCC